GGAGAGGUGCGAGAGUGGCCGAAUCGACGUGCUUGGAAAGCACGCGUCCUGGAAACGGGACCGUGGGUUCAAAUCCCACCCUCUCCGCCA
rnacentral:tRNA from 1 species